CCAAGAUCCAUCACGAAUAAUAAAUAGUCAUGACACUCAAAAAAAUCUAACAUACCAUAUAUUGGCAUUUCUGACGCGAAAUUUCAAUUGGCAUUUGUCCGUUUUACAUCUAGUAUUUUUCAAUUUUAUGCAUUUCUAAUGCAUAUUUUGUUUUUUAUGUAUAUUAUUUUUCAACUUCUCUGUAACAUUUGCACUUGCAUGGUUUUAUGAGAAUAAACUAUCAGUAGCCAUCCGUUUUAUCCGUUAUCCUUCCGUUAAUGUCCGUUUCACAUCCGUUUUAUCCGUUAGGCGUCCGUUAG
rnacentral:lncRNA from 1 species